GAACGUCCAUGUACGUAUGGAUUUGUGCCGGCUGUUUUCGUAAGAAUCUCACGGCACGGUUACCUCGCAGGUGUUACCAGUGAGACGCGCCCGUGAUCGGCCUACCUCCUACGGUCCUACCCGAGGGUACUGUUUCAGCUGGGUCACGGGCCUCUCGCAGGAUUGUGAGGUAGUAGUAUUUGUCCUUAUCUGUGGGCACAUCCCCUCUCCUCUGUCCGCUCUCCCUGCCUGCCCAGUCCCUCUCCACUGCUGCUUCUCCCGCAUCGUGCUUACACUGCGCGGCUGUGCUCCGGCCUGGCCUGCCAGUGCUCUCUCUUCUGCUCGCGCUAGUGAUGUUCGCCGGUGGUGCCAGCGGGCGGCAGCAGCGGUCGGACCCGCCGGUGCCUCCGGAGGUGAGGGGCGUGCAGGCGCAGCUCACGGGGCUCACCAACGACGUCGCCAGGACCAUCUCCGACCGCUUCAGCUUAUACGUCUCCGACACGCAGGAGGACUGGAACGGGGCCUUCAAUUACACCUCCGGAUAGAGUGCAGAAUCAGGAGCAGAAACGGGGUCUUCCAUACAGGCACCACUAUAGAGUUUUCAGAAUCUGGAGCAGACACACUUGGAUUAUAAGAAUGGCCGCAGUCACACGAAUCCAAGUCCCUCGCUGUAGCCGGAUACAAGGUCAAUACCGUCUGCACACUGUACAAAAAAUAGCGACGUUUUUGGGACUGAGAUCCAGUGCCUUUAUCAAGUGAAGUCACGCUGCAACUUUACCUAUCUAAUCUCCAUCCAAUCCACAUCCUACGGUCCAGAUCAUAUAAGGGGAAAGGCUCUCAACACUUAGCAGUUUUCAGCAAGCUUUUGUGUAGAUGAUUACUCAACAUUGACACUUAUUGCUGUAGCAUUCGGACAUUAUGCGCUGCAGCAUUUUAAUAUCAAGUUCUACUGGAUUUAGUGUCAA